CCUACGGGGGGCAGCAGUGAGGAAUAUUGGUCAAUGGACGCAAGUCUGAACCAGCCAUGCCGCGUGCAGGAAGACGGCUCUAUGAGUUGUAAACUGCUUUUGUACGGGGGUAAACGCAGAUACGCGUAUCUGUCUGAAAGUAUCGUACGAAUAAGGAUCGGCUAACUCCGUGCCAGCCGCCGCGGUAAUACGGAGGAUUCAAGCGUUAUUCGGAUUUAUUGGGUUUAAAGGGUGGGUAGGCGGUCGGUUAAGUUAGUGGUGAAAACCCGAGGCUCAACUUCGGAAUUGCCUGUGAUACUGGUUGUCUAGAGAGUAGGUGCGGUAGGCGGAAUGUAUGGUGUAGCGGUGAAAUGCUUAGAGAUCAUACAGAACACCGAUUGCGAAGGCAGCUUACCAGGCUACUUCUGACGUUGAGGCACGAAAGCGUGGGGAGCAAACAGGAUUAGAUACCCCUGUAGUC
rnacentral:rRNA from 1 species